UACGGAGGGUGCGAGCGUUGUCCGGAUUUAUUGGGUUUAAAGGGUGCGUAGGUGGCCUGUUAAGUCAGUGGUGAAAUACAGCCGCUCAACGGUUGAGGUGCCAUUGAUACUGAUUGGCUUGAAAUAAUUGGAGGCUGCCGGAAUGGAUGGUGUAGCGGUGAAAUGCAUAGAUAUCAUCCAGAACACCGAUUGCGAAGGCAGGUGGCUACGAUUGGUUUGACACUGAGGCACGAAAGCAUGGGGAGCAAACAGG
rnacentral:rRNA from 1 species